GGUAGUGUGGCUUAGUGGUUAGCACAUUCGCCUCACACCUCCAUUGUCCCAGGUUCAAUUCCCGUCGGGGCCA